rnacentral:rRNA from 1 species
UGGGGAAUAUUGCACAAUGGGCGAAAGCCUGAUGCAGCAACGCCGCGUGAGUGAUGAAGGUCUUCGGAUUGUAAAGCUCUGUCUUUUGGGACGAUAAUGACGGUACCAAAGGAGGAAGCCACGGCUAACUACGUGCCAGCAGCCGCGGUAAUACGUAGGUGGCGAGCGUUGUCCGGAUUUACUGGGCGUAAAGGGUGCGUAGGCGGAUGUUUAAGUGAGAUGUGAAAUACCCGGGGCUU